CUUCAGCGAGCCGAGCAGCAGCGGCGUGGUCCGGCCCUGGCCGUAGGUCGCCAGCAGCGCCUGCGCCUC
rnacentral:antisense_RNA from 1 species